ensembl:lncRNA
GUGGGGGCAGAGCGCUAUUAGCUGCGCGCUGCAGACAUCAUUAGGAGGGGAGACGCUUCCACCGUCAACGCCGGAGCAGAGCAGGGGAGCCCUGGCAACAAGGAGACACACAAACUCAGCAGCCCGCUAAACACCCCGCAUGAAUGGUGACUACACCUGCAGACAGACAGACGUGAACAGACGGUGCAGACAUCUGGGACGCUUCCCUCCUGUUGGUGCAGAGAUCCAGACUUCACAUCAGGAAGUGCAGCUCCAGUGAGUUGUCAGCUGAGCAGCAGGCUCCACCUACUCCACCCAAGUAGCUCUGCCUCCUCUGCUCAGACAGGAGCAGUGAGGAGUAAGGAGAGCUGCCGAGAGAAAGUAUAAAGGAAAGAAACCCUCAGAAACGAGCAGAUGGAAGGGUGACAGUCUGAAAGCUCCG